rnacentral:tmRNA from 1 species
GGGGAUGAUCGGUUUCGACAUUGCCUGCGUGAGUGUGAGAAGCGGGUCGAGGAUGCAGGGUUAUCUCGUAAACGAUCUCUGCAAACAAUAAGUGCGAAAUCUAACCGCGCUGACUUCGCUCUCGCUGCCUAAGCAAGAGCACUAAUGAAGUCCGUCAGUCUGGGGAUGCUCUCUAACCGGAUCCUGGCGUAAUUUAGGGAGAUUGCUGCGGUGUUACGUCUCAGGGCGCCGCGGGACUUGAACUGGGACUGGGCUCGUCGGAUUGGAUGCCAGUGGCAAAUUCCGGAGCCGAGUAGAACGCCUUCACUGGAUACACCCGUAGAAGGCAUAUGACCACAGCAGUGGACGGGGGUUCAAUUCCCCCCAUCUCCACCC